AUGGUGUUCCUCAUUGCUAGACGCCCUAACACGAUAGUGGAACUCGAGCUACACAGCACAUACGAAGCAACCUGCCAUGCUUUGGAGGGCAUGUGGCAUGAACGUUGUGAUGAAACAUCUUUUGUAACAAGAGAGGAGAUGCUUGCAUGCACCUUGCAAAACAGUUCGUACAGGCAGCUUAGAGAGUCGACCAUCAUUCUCCAGUAUGGAGCUAUGCAUGCCAAACUGCUGGGACAAGUGGUUGAUGGAGACGAACCUACUACCAGUUCUAGCACCAAAUAUUUGCACAGCGUUAUGCAUCGAUUUGGCGUGGAUAUGUUGCAGCGUUUGAUGCCAGAUCCAGAUGAUCUAUGCAUGGAGUGCAGCAGAGAUCGUGUAUUCAAUGUGCCCAAAUGGUUGGCGCUCAUCUUCAACGGAUGGGUGCAUCUCUCCUCAUCAUCGUUUCCAUCCGAUGCAGCAGAGAAGCCCAUACCAGAACACGCUGGCUCAUGGAAGAACACGCUGCCAUGUUUCUCAAGCCACCUGCAGACGUUCCUCGGCUUGCUUCCUAUCUAG
rnacentral:rRNA from 1 species